UAAACUAGGAUUAGAUACCCUAUUAUUAAUAGCCUAUUAUAAAGUUGGAAAGUACGAACUAUAGUUUAAACACCAAAGAAUUUGGCGGUGUCUUAUUCAAUUAGGGGAACCUGUCCUAUAAAUCGAUAAUCCACGAAUGCCUUACCUAAUUUUGAAACUCAGUUAGUGUACUGCCGUCUAAAGUAUACCUUUAUGAGAGCAUACAAUAAAUUAUAUAUAUAUAUUAAUUAUACGUCAGGUCAAAGUGCAGCUUAUAAUUAGGUAGAGAUGGGUUACAAUCUUUACAAAGAUACGGACCAAAUAAUCAAAUCUUAUUUGAGAAGGUGGACUUAACAGUAAUUAUUUAUAGUAUAAUGAAAAUAAAAUUAAGACAAGUACACAUCGCCCGUCGCUCUUAUAUAUCC
rnacentral:rRNA from 1 species